UGUGAAAUUGUUGAAAGGGAAGGGAUUGCAACCAGACUUGCUCGCGGUGUUCCGCCGGUCUUCUGACCGGUCUACUCGCCGCGUUGCAGGCCAGCAUCGUCUGGUGCCGCUGGAUAAGACUUGAGGAAUGUAGCUCCCUCGGGAGUGUUAUAGCCUCUUGUGAUGCAGCGAGCGCCGGGCGAGGUCCGCGCUUCGGCUAGGAUGCUGGCGUAAUGGUCGUAAUCCGCCCGUCUUGAAACACGGACCAAGGAGUC
rnacentral:rRNA from 1 species